GUGGGGAAUAUUGCACAAUGGGCGCAAGCCUGAUGCAGCAACGCCGCGUGAGGGAUGACGGCCUUCGGGUUGUAAACCUCUUUUAGUAGGGAAGAAGCGAAAGUGACGGUACCUGCAGAAAAAGCACCGGCUAACUACGUGCCAGCAGCCGCGGUAAUACGUAGGGUGCAAGCGUUGUCCGGAAUUAUUGGGCGUAAAGAGCUCGUAGGCGGCUUGUCGCGUCUGCUGUGAAAUCCCGGGGCUCAACCCCGGGCCUGCAGUGGGUACGGGCAGGCUAGAGUGCGGUAGGGGAGAUUGGAAUUCCUGGUGUAGCGGUGGAAUGCGCAGAUAUCAGGAGGAACACCGAUGGCGAAGGCAGAUCUCUGGGCCGCUACUGACGCUGAGGAGCGAAAGCAUGGGGAGCGAACGGGAUUAGAAACCCGGGUAGUCC
rnacentral:rRNA from 1 species